CGCACGCGGGUGCGCGGCCCUUUGCCCGACAACGGCAACAGGGCCAUCCGGUGUCGGUACGGUCUUCGCAGGAUCGUCCGAUGACUUGCCCCGCGGAGGCCUAACCGGAAAAAGAGGACAUUA
rnacentral:sRNA from 1 species